UUAACAAGGCCUCGAUGUCACGCGCGCAAGCACGAGUGUGGAGUUACAGCGCUACGCCAGACAGUUAAUAAAUCAUAUUUGAUAAGACAGUUUCAUAGUUUGCCAGUGUUGCAAACGUAACAACUUGCUUGAUAUGACGACAGAGACGAAGACAUCAACAGCAACGAGUGCAACUGGAUAUUUUGGACGUAUUUUCUUUGGUCUCCACGAGGACAAAAAUAACUAUCAAAGAAGGCAGCUCUCAGCCCCCCACCGCUGCCCCAUCUGGCCCUUCUGUGUAACUCUCGACCGGAGUCGCUAUGGAUACUGCGACCCUCUGCCCGGGGUUUCUCAUAAUAGCCAUGGCAAUCAAUUUGUCAGCUGACCAACUAGCCAAGCAUCACAGCCCGGUCCUCAGACUGAUAUGCUCUUGAUGGUGCUCCUCUUUAAGUUUGGAUCCAGCAGUGUUGGAAGGCAAGGCAAG